rnacentral:lncRNA from 1 species
GGGGGGGAUGAGGAUGGAAGGGUGGACUGAAAUCACAACGAAGCUUUGGAUUAUUCCUAUCAUAGGUUUCAUAAACGCUCAGCUCUUCCUGAUCCUCCGUGGCUAGAGAAAGUCAUACUGUAUGCUUUAUGUGCAUGAGAGACAUUUAUGUAUUUACAGUGCACACGCUUCAAUGGCUACUCCUGUGUUGAGGACAUCUGGCUCCAAGGUUGACAUAUUUUCUCCUCUACCUCUCUGUCUCUAACAACAACCUUAUCAUCCUCCAUUACACACCUGGAUUGUAUUACAUAUUAGUUCUCUUAACAGAGAUAGGUGUAAAACAAGGAUGAUGGGGAUGGGUCUGUGACGGAUAUCAUCGUGAGAAAGAGAGAAAUAGAGGGAGCGAGAGAAUGUGAGAGAGAAAGGGGGGGAGAGGGGGGAUAGAGAGAGACAGGGGAUAGAGAGAGACCGGGGUAGAGAGAGACAGGGGAUAGAGAGAGACCGGGGUAGAGAGAGACAGAGUGUAGAGAGAGACAGGGGCAGAGAGAGACAGCCAGGGAGAGAGAGAGACAGACAGGGACAGAGAGAGACAGACAGGGACAGAGAGAGACAGACAGGGAUAGAGAGAGACAGGGGUAGAGAGAGACAGGGGAUAGAGAGAGACGGGGAUAGAGAGAGAUAGGGGAUAGAGAGAGACAUAGGUAGAGAGAUACAGGGGUAGAGAGAGACAGGGGGUAGAGAGAGAUAGGGGAUAGAGAGAGACAUAGGUAGAGAGAUACAGGGACAGAGAGAGACGGGGAUAGAGAGAGACAGGGGGUAGAGAGAGACAGGGGAUAAAGAGAGACAGGGUAGAGAGAGACAGGGGAUAGAGAGAGACAAGGGUAGAGAGAUACAGGGGAUAGAGAGAGACGGGGAUAGAGAGAUACAGGGGGUAGAGAGAUACAGGGGUAGAGAGAGACAGGGGGUAGAGAGAGACAGGGGGUAGAGAGAGACAGGGGAUAGAGAGAGAUAGGGGAUAGAGAGAGACAUAGGUAGAGAGAUACAGGGGGUAGAGAGAGACAGGGGUAGAGAGAGACAGGGAGUAGAGAGAGACAGGGGAUAAAGAGAGACAGGAGGUAGAGAGAGACAGGGGAUAGAGACAGACAGGGGUAGAGAGAGACAGGGGUAGAGAGAGACAGGGAUAUAGAGAGACAGAGGUAGAGAGAGACAGAGGUAGAGAGAGACAGAGGUAGAGAGAGACAGGGGUAGAGAGAGACAGGGGGUAGAGAGAGAUAGGGGAUAGAGAGAGACAGGGAUAGAGAGAGACAGGGGAUAAAGAGAGACAGGGGGUAGAGAGAGACAGGGGGUAGAGAGAGACAGGGGAUAGAGACAGACAGGGGUAGAGAGAGACAGGGAUAGAGACAGACAGGGAUAGAGAGAGACAGAGGUAGAGAGAGGGGAUAGAGAGACAGGGAAUAGAGAGAGACAGGGGAUAGAGAGAGACGGGUAGAGAGAGACAGGGGAUAGAGAGAGACGGGGGUAGAGAGAGACAGGGAAUAGAGAGAGAGACGGGGUAGAGAGAGACAGGGGGUAGAGAGAGACAGGGGUAGAGAGAGACAGGGGUAGAGAGAGACAGGGGUAGAGAGAGACAGGGGUAGAGAGAGACAGGGAGCAGUUAUCCUCUCUAUUUCCUCUGCACCAGCUUUGCGGUUUCUGUGUGGAACAGAUGUUCACAACUUGAUACAGUGCACCAUGCCCCUCUCCUUGCUAUCUUCAGUCCCAGCACUACCAACUGUCUGCACACACACAUUCUCCCUCUCUCUCUCUUGCAUGCCAAUGUGGACACAAUUGCUUGCCUGAAUACAUGUGGAUGUAUUCAGGUGAAAACAGCGUAAAUUGAGAACUUUCUACUGCUGCCCAAUUGACUUUCUCUCCUGUUCCUGCAUCCUGCUCUUUAGUAAACAUUUCACUUUAACGAGGUGCUAUUUCCUGAUCCUUUAGCAGGGAGGGUGACCAGCCACCACUGACCUCAGGGUCUCCUCUUUCACACACACUGAGCUAAGCAGAGUACAUACAGUGUGUGUGUGUGUGUGUGUGUGUGUGUGUGUGUGUGUGUGUGUGUGUGUGUGUGUGUGUGUGUGUGUGUGUGUGUGUGUGUGUGUGUGUGUGUGUGUGUGUGUGUCCUCUGGCCCUGCUAUGAAUUAAAAAAUAAUGUAGGAGAAUUACUGUUUAAAACGUAGAGAGCGUCAUUUUGAGUUCAAAUUCCCAUCAUGCUUCGAUGAACUGAACGGCCACUUUACUGCACGAUUGCAAAUAGAAUGUCACAGGGUCUAUAUGGAUGCAAUUUGUAAAACCAGCAUCAAACGUGUGCUUGACUAGACGGAGCAAUGAUCCGUUGCGCCAUGCUACAUUGCAGCAGAGGAGCUCUCUGUCUGUCUCUCUCAUCCUGUGUUGUCUGUUCUCAGGCAUCAUCUGAUGACUUUAAAGACGGUCACGACGCUGAUAUAAAAGCUGUCAGAUAGCUCACAGCUUCCACGGUCAUACCACCUCAAAAUAGCAAACUUCAAUGUGAGUGUCAAAAACAACAAUG